rnacentral:rRNA from 1 species
GACGAACGCUGGCGGCGUGCUUAACACAUGCAAGUCGAACGGUGAUCUUGAGAGCUUGCUCUUGGGUGAUCAGUGGCGAACGGGUGAGUAACACGUGAGUAACCUGCCCCAGACUCUGGAAUAACCCCGGGAAACCGGAGCUAAUACCGGAUACGACACCAGGUCGCAUGGCCAUGGUGUGGAAAGUUUUUCGGUCUGGGAUGUACUCGCGGCCUAUCAGCUUGGUGGUGAGGUAAUGGCUCACCAAGGCGACGACGGGUAGCCGGCCUGAGAGGGUGUCCGGCCACACUGGGACUGAGACACGGCCCAGACUCCUACGGGAGGCAGCAGUGGGGAAUCUUGCGCAAUGCGCGACAGCGUGACGCAGCAACGCCGCGUGGGGGAAGACGGCCUUCGGGUUGUAAACCUCUUUCAGGAGGGACGAAGCUUCGGCAGCGAAUAGCUGUCCGGAGUGACGGUACCUCCACAAGAAGCCCCGGCUAACUAC